GGCUGCAUGUGAUUGGGCCGGCCUCCAAACAAGGCGGCCCAACACAUGAGAAAAAGGGGGAGGGAGACCCCGAUUGGCUCCCUCCCCUGUUUCCAAAACCCCUCUCCCCUCCUUCCGAAUCCAUCGGAGGGGAGGUUAGAGGGCGAUUUAAACCUCCCAUAUCGGGCGAGGAACGUCCCUCUUUCUCUCCCUAGGGCAUCAACCGAGAGCCCUCUCACACACACACACACAAAAAAAAAAAAAGGGUUUGGGUUUUACCUUGCCUCGGAAGGAAUCGGAGUGUUCGCCAUCGAUCCGGUCGGGAGGACCUCGCCGGAGGCAAGGGAAACAAUCUGUUGGACGAGAGGACGUUGAGCGGGAUUCUGUGCAUUCCGGUUCUUUAUCGCCGUGAGGGCGGGUGAUUGGUUGUCUAAAUUUUCAACAAAGAGUUGCAGGAUGCUUAGAUUUGGAUGGGAUGGGCGCAGAGUGCAAGUAUCAGAGUCAUU